rnacentral:sRNA from 1 species
CUCCGCGGUCUUCCGAGCGGUCGCGUGAACGGCUUCCUGCAGGCUGGCAAUGGCGCUUCACGUUCCCAAGGCUCCGGGCUUUGCCCAGAUGCUCAAGGAGGGAGCGAAAGUAAGGGCUGAAGGAAAGGAAUGAGCACUUUUCAGGAUUAGAAGAGGCUGUGUAUAGAAACAUACAAGCUUGCAAGGAACUUGCCCAAACCACUCGUACAGCAUAUGGACCAAAUGGAAUGAACAAAAUGGUUAUCAACCACUUGGAGAAGUUGUUUGUGACAAAUGAUGCAGCAACUAUUUUAAGAGAACUAGAAGUACAGCAUCCUGCUGCAAAAAUGAUUGUAAUGGCUUCUCAUAUGCAAGAGCAAGAAGUUGGAGAUGGCACAAACUUUGUUCUCGUAUUUGCUGGAGCUCUCCUGGAAUUAGCUGAAGAACUUCUGAGGAUUGGCCUGUCAGUUUCAGAGGUCAUAGAAGGUUAUGAAAUAGCCUGCAGAAAAGCUCAUGAGAUUCUUCCUAAUUUGGUAUGUUGUUCUGCAAAAAACCUUCGAGAUAUUGAUGAAGUCUCAUCUCUACUUCGUACCUCCAUAAUGAGUAAACAAUAUGGUAAUGAAGUAUUUCUGGCCAAGCUUAUUGCUCAGGCAUGCGUAUCUAUUUUUCCUGAUUCCGGCCAUUUCAAUGUUGAUAACAUCAGAGUUUGUAAAAUUCUGGGCUCUGGUAUCAGUUCCUCUUCAGUAUUGCAUGGCAUGGUUUUUAAGAAGGAAACCGAAGGUGAUGUAACAUCUGUCAAAGAUGCAAAAAUAGCAGUGUACUCUUGUCCUUUUGAUGGCAUGAUAACAGAAACUAAGGGAACAGUGUUGAUAAAGACUGCUGAAGAAUUGAUGAAUUUUAGUAAGGGAGAAGAAAAUCUCAUGGAUGCACAAGUCAAAGCUAUUGCUGAUACUGGUGCAAAUGUCGUAGUAACAGGUGGCAAAGUGGCAGACAUGGCUCUUCAUUAUGCAAAUAAAUAUAAUAUCAUGUUAGUGAGGCUAAACUCAAAAUGGGAUCUCCGAAGACUCUGUAAAACAGUUGGUGCUACAGCUCUUCCUAGAUUGGUAUGUAUUUUGGAAAACACUAAAAGAUAGUUGAACAUGAUGGAAUUUUUAUUACAACAGUCACUUUCUUAUUACAGACACCUCCUGUCCUUGAAGAAAUGGGACAUUGUGACAGUGUUUACCUCUCAGAAGUUGGAGAUACUCAGGUGGUGGUUUUUAAGCAUGAAAAGGAAGAUGGCGCCAUUUCUACCAUAGUACUUCGAGGCUCUACAGACAAUCUGAUGGAUGACAUAGAAAGGGCAGUAGACGAUGGUGUUAAUACUUUCAAAGUUCUUACAAGGGAUAAACGUCUCGUACCCGGAGGUGGAGCAACAGAAAUUGAAUUAGCCAAACAGAUCACAUCAUAUGGAGAGGUACAGCUUUUUCUGUAUAAAUUGACUUUCUUUCCAUUGCUUGAAUAAAAGACAGUAAUUAACACAUUUUUGUUUUAGACAUGUCCUGGACUUGAACAGUAUGCUAUUAAGAAGUUUGCUGAGGCAUUUGAAGCUAUUCCCCGCGCACUGGCAGAAAACUCUGGAGUUAAGGCCAAUGAAGUAAUCUCUAAACUUUAUGCAGUACAUCAAGAAGGAAAUAAAAAUGUUGGAUUAGAUAUUGAGGCUGAAGUCCCUGCUGUAAAGGACAUGUUGGAAGCUGGUAUUCUAGAUACUUACCUGGGAAAAUAUUGGGCUAUCAAACUCGCUACUAAUGCUGCAGUCACUGUACUUAGAGUGGAUCAGAUCAUCAUGGCAAAACCAGCUGGUGGGCCCAAGCCUCCAAGUGGGAAGAAAGACUGGGAUGAUGACCAAAAUGAUUGAAAUUGGCUUAAUUUUUACUGUAGGUGAAGGCUGUAUUUGUAGUAGUACUCAAGAAUCACCUAUGUUUUCUUAUUCUCCUUAAAUUAAGAGGUAUUUUGUGUUUGUAUUCUUGGCUGGAUGUUAUAAUAAACAUAUUGUUACUGUCAAAGC